CACCUCAUCAAUUGGAAGGGAUACCUUCCAAUCAAUGAGGUAUUUUCACCUCAUUGACUGGAAGGAAUCCCUUCUGGUUAAUGAGGUU
rnacentral:miRNA from 1 species